GAGAAUGGAGAAAGAGAGAGAAAAAGGGGUAAACGAAAAAGGAGAAAGGAGGUUCUUUUGUGGACUGAUGAGAGAUGAAAUGAAGCAGGUUUAGAGAUCCAUUUUGUUGGGUGUGAUUCUUUUUUCUGUUUCAAGAGUUUAACAGUGGGUGGGUGGGAUGAGUGAGUU